UCCUGACCCCUCGUAGGGGAAGGCGGGUUCCCAGGGCACUUUUUAGGGUGGCUGUAUUCUGAUGUGCUAUGACUAUAACUUCGGCCCAGGGACCAAGCUGACGGUUGUAGAGUGUGCUGAGGCUGUUUCCCAGUGGACCCGCUUUGGUCCAGACAGGCAAAGGGGGCCACCCCACCUCGAGGAGCUAAGACGUGGGUGCUGGCGGAGGCCUCUGGGGUUUUGCCACAGCUGUCUGCAGCCGUGUUCCUAUAAUUCGCCCCUCCACUUCGGGCUGGGCACCAGGCUCACGGUGACAGAGGACCUGCAGCAGGUGAGACCACCCAAGGUGGCCGUGUUUGAACCAUCGGAAGCGGAGAUCUCCCGGACCCAGAAGGCCACCCUCGUGUGCCUGGCCACAGGCUUCUACCCCGACCACGUGGAGCUGAGCUGGUGGGUGAACGGGAAGCAGGUCCAGAGCGGGGUCAGCACGGACCUUCAGCCCUACAGGGAGGACCCCAGCCGCAAUGACUCCAGCUACUGUCUGAGCAGCCGGCUGAGGGUCACCGCCGCCUUCUGGCACAACCCCCGCAACCACUUCCGCUGCCAAGUCCAGUUCUAUGGGCUCACGGAGGACGACGAGUGGGAGUACAACUGGACCAAGCCCAUCACCCAGAACAUCAGUGCGGAGGCCUGGGGCAAAGCAGACUGUGGCUUCAGCUCGGCGUCCUAUCAGCAAGGGGUCCUGUCCGCCACCCUCCUCUAUGAGAUCCUGCUGGGGAAGGCCGCCCUGUACGCUGUGCUGGUCAGCGCCCUGGUGCUGAUGGCCACGGUCAAGAGAAAGGGUGCCUGAAGCCGGCUCUGACGUGGAGCCAGGAGCUUCCAGCCUGCUGUGGGCCUGGGGUGACUCUCCUCUUUCCAUUCCUCCCAGUGCUUCUGAGGAGCUGCUCCCAUCUCUCUCCUCAUCCUCGGCUCUCCCCCAUGGGAAGGCACCCCUGCCCACUCCUGACUGCCAUCUCCCUAGCCCAGGGGGGACCCCAGCCUGCCUGAGCUGACCCAACCAAUAAAAACAGCCUGUUCUGCCCGGA